rnacentral:rRNA from 1 species
GACAGAGGGGGCAAGCGUUGCUCGGAAUCACUGGGCGUAAAGGGUGCGUAGGCGGCGCGGUAAGUCGGGUGUGAAAUCUCGGAGCUUAACUCCGAAACUGCAUUCGAUACUGCCGUGCUUGAGGACUGGAGAGGAGACUGGAAUUUACGGUGUAGCGGUGAAAUGCGUAGAUAUCGUAAGGAAGACCGGUGGCGAAGGCGGGUCUCUGGACAGUUCCUGACGCUGAGGCACGAAGGUCAGGGGAGCAAACGGG